rnacentral:lncRNA from 1 species
CUGGUGAUGAGAUGGGGAAGUGGGCUCAGGAGGUCUGGAUCUGUGAUGAGAUGGGGAAAGUGGGCUCAGGAGGUCUGGAUCUGUGAUGAGAUGGGGGAAGUGGGCUCAGGAGGUCUGGAUCUGAGUUGGGGAUCUGGAGUGGAAGGGGAAUUCAUUUGUUCAUUGUCUAUCCUUUUGCAUUAAUUGAAUUUUUUUCUAUACAUACAUGUGAAUUUUCACAAUAAAAGUUUUUUCCAAAAUAAAAUAAAAGAAACAAAAGGGGCUUUUUGCAACCCAAUUCCUAUCUAUGUCUGAGUCCACUUGUAUUGAAUGAGUCUUUCUGCUAACGUCCUUAUAUUUGGGUGACUAUCUGAAUGUCAGUGACCAAUCAGAGCAGAGGCAGACCUUGGAGUGGGCAGGGCAUCCUGAGGGCCCUGAUUCCUGCCAUAAGGCAUAACCCUUUAGGUGCCAGACCAUGGGGAGGUCCAGGGGUUGCAGGGGAGGGCUGUGCAUCUGCAAUGGCUCUCAGGGGGCUCCCGGUGGUGGCAAUUGGUGAAUCUGCAUGGUGGUGUUUCAAUAUUGUCACAACCCUGCUGUCUCUCAUGCUCUCAAAAAGCAUUUCUCUUACCUGUGACAGACUUCCUAUACCUAACAGCUUGCAAAAAUGUUCCAGAUUAAUGAGAAUAAUCUCUCGGAGCCAUACCUCCCUGCUUGGGGUCUCAGUUUCCCCAAAUGUCUCCAGACAAGUUAGGCUAGAAGGCCCCUGAGUCUCAGCCCCUCUAUAGCCCUCCUGUCACCCAGACCUGAUCUGGGUCUUGCACCCUGGGUGCAGCAUGACAGGGGUGGGCAGGGGCUGGCUCUGGGCCAGAGGACCCUUUCUGAUGGACUUCAGCUGUUGGCCUUCCAGGGGAGACUGAUCAACCUCACAAGAGUCAUAUGGUGAGUAGCGGUGGGAGUACCAGGUUGAAACCAAGGACACCUUCCUGGAGGAGCUGCCGUUUGAGCCAGCUCUGAGAACAGGUGGAGACAGGACUGGAGAGGAGGAGGUUGUGCCCUAUGAGCAAAGACUGGCCACCACCCCAUCUAACACCCCCACAGGGCCCCUGUGGCAUCCCUGUCCAGUCCCUGUCACCACCCAGUUUUUCCCUCUGGACCCAGGAAUUCAAAGUAAGCAAGGAGGUCCGCUGCUCCAGUUGGCUGCAAAUAAUUACAACCUUGAGCCCAAGCAGCACUUUGGGUCCUGGUUUGGGACCAUGAAGCGGCUCGGUGAGACUGAGAGGUAAGGCCAGGGCAGGAAUUGGGAUAGUAGGAUUGAACUCUCCCUGGGGGCCAGCCUCAGAAAGCCUGUGGCCAUGGCCUCUUGGCCAACAUCAGAUCCUGUGGUCUGGCAAUGCCUGGGGUACCCAGACCUCACUCUGGACAGGCCCUGGGAGGGGGCCCUGGUGAGAUUCCUGGCAGCCUCACAGCCACUCU